ACUACACAGAGAAAAUGAUACAGAAAAGGCGAUGGAGUUUAUAUAAACAAUACUGCCAUUCUAACCCCCCACUACAUAAAAGGGGAAUUGUUGGACUUCUUUGAACGAAAAAAGCUUUGAAUUUGACCAGCGUGAAGCAAAAUUAGCAGGCCCAGCUUGGAAGUAAGGCAUGAACAUCUG